UACAGAGGGUGCGAGCGUUAAUCGGAAUAACUGGGCGUAAAGGGCGCGUAGGUGGUUAUGUAAGAUCGGUGUGAAAUCCCUGGGCUUAACCUAGGAACUGCGCUGAUGACUGGAUAGCUAGAGUACUGAAGAGGGUAGUAGAAUUUCCGGUGUAGCAGUGAAAUGCGUAGAGAUCGGAAGGAAUACCAGUGGCGAAGGCGGCUACCUGGACAGAUACUGACACUGAGGCGCGAAAGCGUGGGGAGCAAACAGG
rnacentral:rRNA from 1 species